CAAAACAAGAGAAAUGUAGUAUGAAGGAAAAAGGAAAAUCAUUGGCUAUUCACGAGGAUAAAUAGGUGAAUAUGUAAAAAAGGAAAGCCGAAGCCCUUGGAAGCGUUGCCCAUUCCAUUAUUCUUGUCCAAAAUUUCCCCACUGCACUCUCCCUCUCUCUCUGCACCCUUCCCAAUCAAAUCAAACAAAGGAGAGAAGGGAGAACAAUAACCAAUGGCUACUCCGGCGACACUUCCGAUCUCGAGUCCUCAAUCCACGGUGGCUGCCGGAGCCCAAUCUCAGCCCCCUAUUGCCACUCCCGCAUUUCGCUCCUUCAUCUCUCGCCUCUCAUCUUCGAUCCGUCAGGGUUUCGCUCAACGCCGCCCUUGGUAUGAACUUCUCGAUCGCACCUCCUUCGCUCGCCCUGACUCCGUCGCUGAGGCUGCCUCACGCGUCCGCAAAAACUUCUCCUACUUCCGCGUCAAUUAUAUUUCCCUACUCGCAGGCGUACUCGCUCUUUCCCUUCUCUCUCAUCCUUUCUCUCUCCUUGUCCUCCUCGCUCUCCUCGGUGGCUGGUUUUUCCUUUACCUGUUUAGGCCCUCAGAUCAGCCUGUUGUUAUCCUCGGCCGCACUUUCUCUGACCGCGAAACGCUGGGGAUCUUAGUAGUGUCCACUAUUGUUGUGGUGUUCCUCACCAGUGUCGGAUCACUGCUCAUAUCUGCACUUCUUGUUGGACUGGCUAUUGUUUGUGCUCAUGGAGCUUUUAGGGUUCCGGAGGAUUUGUUCCUUGAUGAUCAAGAGCCGGGCAACGUUGGAUUCCUUUCGUUCCUCGGUGGUGCUGCCUCCUCUGCUGCGGCUGCCGCUGCCGCUGCCCCGGCUGUUGCUGCUCGUGUCUAGUCGGAUCAUGUUUGGUGACACGAUUAUGAGGCUGGUUUGUGAAGCUUCUAAAUUUGAUGUGAAUCAGUUAUUCAAUUUAAUGGACCUGUGGUAUUUGUUUGGUAGGAAAACUAGUUCGUGCGUCGGAUUUUGCAGGGAAUAUUUAGAAAUUUUGUAUCUAGAUUAUAGAUCUAGAUUGGAUCUGUAAUUUCCAAUUUUUAGAUCUGUAUUCCAUUCCUUUACUUGUUUGCUACUACUACAUUUUUAUUCAUGUUUACCUGUAAGUUGGCGGAUUAAAGGUUAAAAUUUAUGUAAUAGAUUUGCCUAUUUGUUGAUUGUCACGCUUCAAAAUAGGUAUUGACCUUAAUUCUGCCCGUUGGCCAUCUAUUUGUUGGACUUUGCUUCACAUGCUCUUCUAUUCUGUUGGAAUACUGGCAUCUAUGAUACAUGCCACCAGAGGAGGAGGUAAAAUUUGAGAUGUUUAACCUGAUCAUUUGGUGAGGGAGAAAUGUUUUGUGAACACUGACCUUUCAAGGAAGAUUAUGUUUAUGGUAGCUCUAGCUUUCUGCAUUUUUGUUUGCAAAUUGAUAAGUUUUGUCUUUAUAACCAUUUGCAUGAUCCAUUUUCAUAAUAGUUUUAAGUUUGUCUUUAGUUCUGGAUAAAUUGGCUGGAAGAGNNNNNNNNNNNNNNNNNNNNNNNNNNNNNNNNNNNNNNNNNNNNNNNNNNNNNNNNNNNNNNNGGGGGGGGGGGGGAGGGGGUGUAUAUCAUAGAGAGAGAGAUAGAGAGCGCUAGCUUUAGCGUUCUUUCUAUUUUAGCUGUGUAAGGGGUAGACGCAUAGGGUGGUUAGCCAGGUGGAGAGGAGACUAUGCUGUCUUUGCCUCUGUUUAGCAUGAAUUUAUUUCAUGGUGAACCUCAGAUUGAUUUUGGUUCGAUGACCAGCUUGCUGCAAUUUAUGAGGAAACUGCAUUUUAUUGUUGUUGGGGCAUGGUUGAGGAGGAAGGAUUGGUCGAUAGUACUUUUUUGGUCUAGUGACACUGGGACCCGAGAUAGCAUGCACUCUCUAGAGGGCAGCAUAUGUUAAGACGUUUGUUGGUGAUGAUAUUGGCAUUUUUACUUUAGGAUCUUCCGUUCUAUUUUAUAUGAAACCACGUAAUGUUUUUAAGAGUGCCAAGACAAGAUGGGAUACAGUACAUUAUUAGCAUAAAAUGCAAACUAGUGUUUUUUCCCAUACAAACACCUCCGAAAUAUGAGACCUAGUCUGAACUUAUAUAAAUGAUGGAUUCAACACUAUAUAACAUUCUUUGUCGCUUCUAUUAAGGUAUACUUAUAAAUGGGUCUGCUAUGUGCUCCUUAAUAAAGCUGUGCUAUACCUCGUUGGAAUGGGGGAAAGAGAAAGGACAAGUAAGAGGUGUGUUAUGUGUUCCUAUUGGGGCAUCUAAUUUGAUAGGCUUGUACUUAGAAUGUUGAAUAACUUCAUAUUGACAUUCUUAUAUACAUGGAAGACUUAAUUUUUGUUAUACUUCUUGUAUACAGAAUGUUGAUAGGCUUGUACUUAACAACAACAACAACAACUACCCAGUAUACUCCCACCAGGUGGGGUCUGGGGAGGGUAAAUUAUAUUUCCCUACUCGCAGGCGUACUCGCUCUUUCCCUUCUCUCUCAUCCUUUCUCUCUCCUUGUCCUCCUCGCUCUCCUCGGUGGCUGGUUUUUCCUUUACCUGUUUAGGCCCUCAGAUCAGCCUGUUGUUAUCCUCGGCCGCACUUUCUCUGACCGCGAAACGCUGGGGAUCUUAGUAGUGUCCACUAUUGUUGUGGUGUUCCUCACCAGUGUCGGAUCACUGCUCAUAUCUGCACUUCUUGUUGGACUGGCUAUUGUUUGUGCUCAUGGAGCUUUUAGGGUUCCGGAGGAUUUGUUCCUUGAUGAUCAAGAGCCGGGCAACGUUGGAUUCCUUUCGUUCCUCGGUGGUGCUGCCUCCUCUGCUGCGGCUGCCGCUGCCGCUGCCCCGGCUGUUGCUGCUCGUGUCUAGUCGGAUCAUGUUUGGUGACACGAUUAUGAGGCUGGUUUGUGAAGCUUCUAAAUUUGAUGUGAAUCAGUUAUUCAAUUUAAUGGACCUGUGGUAUUUGUUUGGUAGGAAAACUAGUUCGUGCGUCGGAUUUUGCAGGGAAUAUUUAGAAAUUUUGUAUCUAGAUUAUAGAUCUAGAUUGGAUCUGUAAUUUCCAAUUUUUAGAUCUGUAUUCCAUUCCUUUACUUGUUUGCUACUACUACAUUUUUAUUCAUGUUUACCUGUAAGUUGGCGGAUUAAAGGUUAAAAUUUAUGUAAUAGAUUUGCCUAUUUGUUGAUUGUCACGCUUCAAAAUAGGUAUUGACCUUAAUUCUGCCCGUUGGCCAUCUAUUUGUUGGACUUUGCUUCACAUGCUCUUCUAUUCUGUUGGAAUACUGGCAUCUAUGAUACAUGCCACCAGAGGAGGAGGUAAAAUUUGAGAUGUUUAACCUGAUCAUUUGGUGAGGGAGAAAUGUUUUGUGAACACUGACCUUUCAAGGAAGAUUAUGUUUAUGGUAGCUCUAGCUUUCUGCAUUUUUGUUUGCAAAUUGAUAAGUUUUGUCUUUAUAACCAUUUGCA
rnacentral:lncRNA from 1 species